CAACUCCUUCUGACUUCGAGAUGGAUCACUACGAUCUUGCAAUCCCACUUGAGCAUGAGGAAGUGGUAUCUGCCAGCCAUGACAUCCCAUUCUACUCAGGAGCUGCAUCUCCAACUAAGCCACCCAAUGCAACAUGGAGCUGGAGCGGUUGGUAUCUCUGAGGUCGACCGCUGUGCAAACGGAUGACGCCACUCCUGCCAUGGCAGCAACUCUGACAUCAUCACCAGUGUGUCCACUUCCACAAGGGCUCCCACCACGACGAGAGUCGCCGAUCCUGCAUUCUUCACCAGCUGCGGCAGGUGGUGAAGAUGAGGUCUGUGAAGAAGACCGGACGUAUUACCCUUCAAUGAAUGGGAGCCCCUUAGAGGAGACACAAAGAGAGACAAAGCUCUACGAGGAGCCAAAGUACAUUGUUUUUGAGAGCUGCCUCACCAAGCUGCUCAAGACAUGCCGGGAGUGCUUCCAGCCCUGCACAUGCUC